rnacentral:misc_RNA from 1 species
CAGUUGCUGUUUUCGCGGUGCAACGAUAUGGAGAAACACUUUCGCGGUUUGACCAACGACGACAACGCGAACAACGGAAACGACGAUCUAGAAUGAAGAAUCGAGGGCCGCGUGUAGAGGAUCGAGGAUCGAGAAUGAAACAUCGACGAACGACGAGCGACGAACGACAUACGACGAACGGCGAACAACAUACGACGAACGACGAACGGCGAACGACAUACGACGAACGACACGAAGCUUCGUCGCGAUAACGUUAGCAACGUUCGCUCGUUUGACGGAAAGGAGGAAGAAACGUGAACGUUAUAGUCGCGUACGGCGUCUGAAACUCGAGUCUUGGAUCGUUAUAAGAAAAAAUGGAAAAAAGGAGGGGGGAAGAGAGGGAGAGAGAGAGAGAGAGAGGGAGAUUAGCAGGAGG